GACGAACGCUGGCGGCGUGCUUAACACAUGCAAGUCGAACGGAAAGGCCCUGCUUUUGUGGGGUGCUCGAGUGGCGAACGGGUGAGUAACACGUGAGUAACCUGCCCUUGACUUUGGGAUAACUUCAGGAAACUGGGGCUAAUACCGGAUAGGAGCUCCUGCUGCAUGGUGAGGGUUGGAAAGUUUCGGCGGUUGGGGAUGGACUCGCGGCUUAUCAGCUUGUUGGUGGGGUAGUGGCUUACCAAGGCUUUGACGGGUAGCCGGCCUGAGAGGGUGACCGGCCACAUUGGGACUGAGAUACGGCCCAGACUCCUACGGGAGGCAGCAGUGGGGAAUAUUGCACAAUGGGCGGAAGCCUGAUGCAGCAACGCCGCGUGCGGGAUGACGGCCUUCGGGUUGUAAACCGCUUUCGCCUGUGACGAAGCGUGAGUGACGGUAAUGGGUAAAGAAGCACCGGCUAACUACGU
rnacentral:rRNA from 1 species